rnacentral:rRNA from 1 species
UACGUAGGGUGCGAGCGUUAAUCGGAAUUACUGGGCGUAAAGCGUGCGUAGGCGGUUUCGCAAGUCCGCUGUGAAAGCCCCGGGCUUAACCUGGGAAUGGCGUUUGGGACUGGGUCGCUAGAGUGUGGCAGAGGGAGGUGGAAUUCCACGUGUAGCAGUGAAAUGCGUAGAGAUGUGGAGGAACACCGAUGGCGAAGGCAGCCUCCUGGGCCAGCACUGACGCUCAUGCACGAAAGCGUGGGGAGCAAACAGG